rnacentral:rRNA from 1 species
AAAGACUUAGUCCUAACCUUACCAUUAACUAUCAUUAGACAUAUACAUGCAAGUAUCCGCGCCCCAGUGUAAAUGCCCUCACCUAUUUUAAACCUUACCCAGGUAAGAGGAGCAGGUAUCAGGCUCACCCCCGUAGCCCAAAACACCUUGCCCAGCCACACCCCCACGGGUCCUCAGCAGUAAUUAACAUUAAGCCAUAAGUGAAAACUUGACUUAGUCAUAAUGACUUCAGGGCCGGUAAAUCUUGUGCCAGCUACCGCGGUCAUACAAGAGGCCCAAGUUAAUGGUACCCGGCGUAAAGAGUGGAAACAUGCUAUCUAAUUAAACUAGGACCAAUAUGCAUCUAAGCCGUCAUAAGCCCAAGAUAGCACCAAAACCCUCAUAAAAACGGUCCCAGCAUCAAAGAUCGAUUAUACCCCACGAAAGCUAGGAAACAAACUGGGAUUAGAUACCCCACUAUGCUUAGCCCUAAAUCUAAAUGCUUAACUUACCUAAGCAUUCGCCCGAGAACUACGAGCGCAAACGCUUAAAACUCUAAGGACUUGGCGGUGCCCCAAACCCACCUAGAGGAGCCUGUUCUAUAAUCG